GUGAGGGAAAGGCGAAAAGAACCCCGGCGAGGGGAGUGAAACAGAACCUGAAACCGUGUACGUACAAGCAGUGGGAGCCUUCGUAAGAGGGUGACUGCGUACCUUUUGUAUAAUGGGUCAGCGACUUAUAUUCUGUAGCAAGGUUAACCGUAUAGGGGAGCCGAAGGGAAACCGAGUCUUAACCGGGCGUUAAGUUGCAGGGUAUAGACCCGAAACCCGGUGAUCUAGCCAUGGGCAGGUUGAAGGUUGGGUAACACUAACUGGAGGACCGAACCGACUAAUGUUGAAAAAUUAGCGGAUGACCUGUGGCUGGGGGUGAAAGGCCAAUCAAACCGGGAGAUAGCUGGUUCUCCCCGAAAGCUAUUUAGGUAGCGCCUCGUGAACUCAUCUCCGGGGGUAGAGCACUGUUUCGGCUAGGGGGCCAUCCCGGCUUACCAACCCGAUGCAAACUGGGAAUACCGGAGAAUGUUUUCCCGGGAGACACACGGCGGGUGCUAACGUCCGUCGUGAAGAGGGAAACAACCCAGACCGCCAGCUAAGGUCCCAAAGUCAUGGUUAAGUGGGAAACGAUGUGGGAAGGCCCAGACAGCCAGGAUGUUGGCUUAGAAGCAGCCAUCAUUUAAAGAAAGCGUAAUAGCUCACUGGUCGAGUCGGCCUGCGCGGAAGAUGUAACGGGGCUAAACCAUGCACCGAAGCUGCGGCAGCGACACUCUGUGUUGUUGGGUAGGGGAGCGUUCUGUAAGCC
rnacentral:rRNA from 1 species